AUGAACGCUGGCGGCGUGCCUAAUACAUGCAAGUCGAGCGAACGGACGAGAAGCUUGCUUCUCUGAUGUUAGCGGCGGACGGGUGAGUAACACGUGGAUAACCUACCUAUAAGACUGGGAUAACUUCGGGAAACCGGAGCUAAUACCGGAUAAUAUUUUGAACCGCAUGGUUCAAAAGUGAAAGACGGUCUUGCUGUCACUUAUAGAUGGAUCCGCGCUGCAUUAGCUAGUUGGUAAGGUAACAGCUUACCAAGGCAACGAUGCAUAGCCGACCUGAGAGGGUGAUCGGCCACACUGGAACUGAGACACGGUCCAGACUCCUACGGGAGGCAGCAGUAGGGAAUCUUCCGCAAUGGGCGAAAGCCUGACGGAGCAACGCCGCGUGAGUGAUGAAGGUCUUCGGAUCGUAAAACUCUGUUAUUAGGGAAGAACAUAUGUGUAAGUAACUGUGCACAUCUUGACGGUACCUAAUCAGAAAGCCACGGCUAACUACGUG
rnacentral:rRNA from 1 species